GACAGAGGGUGCAAACGUUUGUUCGGAAUUACUGGGCGUAAAGCGCGUGUAGGCGGCCCUGCAAGUCGGAUGUGAAAUCCCACGGCUCAACCGUGGAAGUGCAUUCGAAACUGCAGGGCUAGAGUCCUGGAGAGGAAGGUGGAAUGCUUGGUGUAGAGGUGAAAUUCGUAGAUAUCAAGCGGAACACCGGUGGCGAAGGCGGCCUUCUGGACAGUGACUGACGCUGAGACGCGAAAGCGUGGGGAGCAAACAGGAUUAAGAAAC
rnacentral:rRNA from 1 species